CCAAUCUUUUUUAUCUAUCUAAUUCAACCUGAUCCGUAUAUCUACUUGACCCAAUCUGACCCAAUCCGAUGUAGAUACACGAUGGGUAUAGAUAUAGAAUUUUUAAUUAUGAAGCAGGAUGUGAGCCGAUGCAACCCAUAUUUGACCUAUUAUCAUCCCUAGUAAUAAUAAAACAUGAUUAUCUUGUGAUUUUACCUUGAUAUGAGAUUACGAU
rnacentral:lncRNA from 1 species